GCCCCUGGCUGUGCGCUCGCAGGGAUAACAUCGGCUCGAGAUGGAUGUGGCCCCGGGCCGGCAGCGCACCCAGCGAGCCCGGACCGCGUCCUGCCUGCUGCCCCCAGGCAGCCUGUGACUCACUGCGAAGGUAUUGCCCCAUGUUCCUACAGCCUUGAGGCUGACCUGCAGGACUGGUGGCAGAAGGUGGGGUGGAGUUGCAGCUCUAUCAGGAAAGCAGGAACUGCCUGAGUUAGCAGUGGCUCUGAAUAACGAAGCAGGUGUCUGCACCUCCCUGGAGCACAGCGUCCCACAGUUGGCAGCAGAAGGCUGGAGUCCGUCUGGAGCUCUGAUGGACUUUGGGUGCUGCUGCCUGCAGGAUCACCUCCUACAGAACUGUAAAGAACAGUCUCAAUUCACCGGAAUCACAGAAUGCUGUCCACGUGUACACAGUAACAGUGAAUUUGCCAGUUCUUCCAGCUCCAGACUGCUUGGUUUCCCUGUGAGCCUUCAAAGCUGGCUGCCCAUGCCCUCCCACAGCAGUAGACAGUUUCAGCUGGGUGUUCCACUUGUGCUUUUCCUAAAGCACUGGAACGCCUACAGGGUGAAAAGGCUUACAGUCAAGAAGUGAUUUGUUAAUUAAUCGCUGCUGUCUUCUGGGACACAGGGAAUGGAGCCGUUGUUCUGUUAUCGCAGUGCCUGUGUCACACAAGACUCCCUAGGAGUAAUAACCUGCUUGUGAGGCUGUGAUGCAAGAGUUGAGGAAGUGCUUUGCCCUGAAGGUUGUCUUCUCAGAUGUUUCCAGGAACUGAGGAGUGCAGGAUUGCUAGAUAACACCACGUCUAGAGCAUCUGAGGCUGUUCCACAUGGAUAAUAGGAAAGUCAAAUGGCUUUAAUACGUACUCUUCCCUUCUGUGAAUGAGAAGAAAGGAGAAGAUUGAACAUCCUGCCCUAACUUCUCUCCUUGCGUGAUGCCAGCUCUCUGUUGCAGGGAGAUGGAGCACCAUGACUUCACAUACCAGACUCACUGCCCACCAGAGGGCUGGGAAGCAGGAGGAUGAUGGUGUUAACCUGGAAGCAGCAGAAGCAGGAGGUCAGUUUUGCAUAAUUGGGAUAAAAUGGGAAUUCACAUAAUGUUUGUUAAUUCCAGAAGUCCUGGAAUUAAUUCAGAGGAACUUGCUAGAGCUGCCGUUUGGGGGCAGUAGCUCCUGUAGCUCUGUUUAAUUACUCCUUCUAAAAGGGUCACCUGUGCAGGGCUCAACAAAAACUGCCUUCCUGCAGAAGGAGUCAGGGCAUGCAGCACACGUGGCUGUGUAGCUCUUCCCUACUGUAUGUGUUCUGUGUACUUCUACAUGUAUUGCAAUUCUGGUUCUGUAUAUAACAGCCUUUCACUGUGCCCAGCUUCCAGCGUGACCUUACACAUGUGAAUGCAGAGCUGUUUGACCUCAGCGUUUGCCAAGUAAAAACCUUCAAGUCUCUAAAA